AUUGAACGCUGGCGGCAGGCCUAACACAUGCAAGUCGAACGAGAGGCGGACGGGUGAGUAAUGUCUGGGCAACUGCCUGAUGGAGGGGGAUAACUACUGGAAACGGUAGCUAAUACCGCAUACCAUCGGAUGUGCCCAGAUGGGUUUAGCUAGUAGGUGGGGUAAAGGCUAACCUAGGCGACGAUCCCUAGCUGGUCUGAGAGGAUGACCAGCCACACUGGAACUGAGACACGGUCCAGACUCCUACGGGAGGCAGCAGUGGGGAAUAUUGGGCAAUGGACGCAAGCCUGAUGCAGCCAUGCCGCGUGUGUGAAGAAGGCCUUCGGUUUGUAAAGUCCUUUCAGCGGAGAGGCGUUACCCACAGAGGAAGCACCGGCUAACUCCGUGCCAGCAGCCGCGGUAAUUC
rnacentral:rRNA from 1 species